UGCCAGCCGCCGCGGUAAUACGUAUGUCGCAAGCGUUAUCCGGAUUUAUUGGGCGUAAAGCGCGUCUAGGCGGAUUGAAAAGUCUGAUGUGAAAAUGCGGGGCUCAACUCCGUAUUGCGUUGGAAACUGUCAAUCUAGAGUACUGGAGAGGUGGGCGGAACUACAAGUGUAGAGGUGAAAUUCGUAGAUAUUUGUAGGAAUGCCGAUGGAGAAGUCAGCUCACUGGACAGAUACUGACGCUGAAGCGCGAAAGCGUGGGGAGCAAACAGGAUUAGAUA
rnacentral:rRNA from 1 species